AUAUCGCUUUGGGGGUAUUCUGAAAAGAAUUGAGAGAGUCCCUUUGAACCUGAUGCGGUUUAGACCGUCGUAGGGAAAAGUUUUGUGGGUGCA
rnacentral:ncRNA from 2 species